GACGAACGCUGGCGGCGUGCCUAAUACAUGCAAGUCGAACGCAGUGGGGACGGGUGAGUAACACGUGGGUAACCUCCCAUCAGAGGGGAUAACACUUGGAAACAGGUGCUAAACCGAUAUCGAUGGAUGGACCCGCGGUGCAUUAGCUAGUUGGUGAGGGAACGGCUCACCAAGGCAAAGAUGCAUAGCCGGCCUGAAGGGGUGGUAGGCCACAUUGCGACGGAUGCACGGCCCAGACUCCUACGUGAGGCAGCAGUGGGGAAUCUUGGGCAAUGGACGAAAGUCUGACCGAGCAACGCCGCGUGGAUGAAGAAGGGUUUCGGUUCGUAAAACUCUGUUGUUUGAGAAGCGGUAUCUAACCAGAAAGCCACGGCUAACUACGUGCCAGCAGCCGCGGUAAUUC
rnacentral:rRNA from 1 species